UCCAGGGACAAAUGACUCUAUGGGAUCUCGGCCACCAGAUGCUAUGGGCAAGCCAUCUCUGAAAACAUCAUUUCCAGGCAUAGCACCCCAGUCCACACCUAUUCCAGGAAGGCUUUAUUCUUGUCGUGAGACCAGCUCUCUUAGCUGACCUGCUUAGCACACUAGUUACAAUGGAGAAGUUGUCCAGGAUGGAAUUUGUUCACAUAGGGUGAAAUCCAUCUGCAGGUCCCCCAGGGUGGUACAGAGCUCAGCGAAGACACAGGAACACCAACUCUUUCUAGCUCUCUACUCCAGCUUUCUUUAGAGUGCAGGUGACUCGUGGUCUUCUGGUUUGUAGCAGUCACUCGAGGGCUGCUGAAGCUCCAAGUGUCACAUUCAUCUUUCAGACAGGGGGAAGAGAAAGAAAAGAAGCAAGAAAGGGUAACCUUGUAUCAUCAGUGCUCGGCUUAUUAAUCUUUCCAAACACUGCACGUCUUGGUUAGUUUUAUCUGAAAGGCAUCCUAAAAGACUGCUGCUUCAUUUAGCCAAUCACACGGGCCCUUUGAACUAACUGGGAAGAGGGCCUUGUAUA
rnacentral:lncRNA from 1 species